UUUGAUCCUGGCUCAGAUUGAACGCUGGCGGCAUGCCUUACACAUGCAAGUCGAACGGCAGCACGGGAGCAAUCCUGGUGGCGAGUGGCGAACGGGUGAGUAAUACAUCGGAACGUGCCCAAUCGUGGGGGAUAACGCAGCGAAAGCUGUGCUAAUACCGCAUAAGAUCUACGGAUGAAAGCAGGGGAUCGCAAGACCUUGCGCGAAUGGAGCGGCCGAUGGCAGAUUAGGUAGUUGGUGAGGUAAAGGCUCACCAAGCCUUCGAUCUGUAGCUGGUCUGAGAGGACGACCAGCCACACUGGGACUGAGACACGGCCCAGUCUCCUACGGGAGGCAGCAGUGGGGAAUUUUGGACAAUGGGCGCAAGCCUGAUCCAGCCAUGCCGCGUGCAGGAUGAAGGCCUUCGGGUUGUAAACUGCUUUUGUACGGAACGAAACGGCUCUUUCUAAUAAAGAGGGCUAAUGACGGUACCGUAAGAAUAAGCACCGGCUAGCUACGUGCCAGCAGCCGCGGUAAUACGUAGGGUGCAAGCGUUAAUCGGAAUUACUGGGCGUAAAGCGUGCGCAGGCGGUGAUGUAAGACAGUUGUGAAAUCCCCGGGCUCAACCUGGGAACUGCAUCUGUGACUGCAUCGCUGGAGUGCGGCAGAGGGGGAUGGAAUUCCGCGUGUAGCAGUGAAAUGCGUAGAUAUGCGGAGGAACACCGAUGGCGAAGGCAAUCCCCUGGGCCUGCACUGACGCUCAUGCACGAAAGCGUGGGGAGCAAACAGGAUUAGAUACCCUGGUAGUCCACGCCCUAAACGAUGUCAACUGGUUGUUGGGUCUUCACUGACUCAGUAACGAAGCUAACGCGUGAAGUUGACCGCCUGGGGAGUACGGCCGCAAGGUUGAAACUCAAAGGAAUUGACGGGGGCCCGCACAAGCGGUGGAUGAUGUGGUUUAAUUCGAUGCAACGCGAAAAACCUUACCCACCUUUGACAUGUACGGAAUUUGCCAGAGAUGGCUUAGUGCUCGAAAGAGAACCGUAACACAGGUGCUGCAUGGCUGUCGUCAGCUCGUGUCGUGAGAUGUUGGGUUAAGUCCCGCAACGAGCGCAACCCUUGUCAUUAGUUGCUACAUUUAGUUGGGCACUCUAGUGAGACUGCCGGUGACAAACCGGAGGAAGGUGGGGAUGACGUCAAGUCCUCAUGGCCCUUAUAGGUGGGGCUACACACGUCAUACAAUGGCUGGUACAAAGGGUUGCCAACCCGCGAGGGGGAGCUAAUCCCAUAAAACCAGUCGUAGUCCGGAUCGCAGUCUGCAACUCGACUGCGUGAAGUCGGAAUCGCUAGUAAUCGUGGAUCAGAAUGUCACGGUGAAUACGUUCCCGGGUCUUGUACACACCGCCCGUCACACCAUGGGAGCGGGUUCUGCCAGAAGUAGUUAGCCUAACCGCAAGGAGGGCGAUUACCACGGCAGGGUUCGUGACUGGGGUGAAGUCGUAACAAGGUA
rnacentral:rRNA from 1 species